rnacentral:rRNA from 1 species
UACAGAGGGGGCAAGCGUUGUUCGGAAUUACUUGGCGUAAAGGGCUCGUAGGCGGUUUGUCGCGGCGGGAGUGAAAUCCACUGGCUUAACUGGUGGCUUGCUUUCGAUACGGGCAGACUGGAGGUAUGCAGGGGAGAACGGAAUUCCUGGUGUAGCGGUGAAAUGCGUAGAUAUCAGGAGGAACACCGGUGGUGUAGACGGCUUUCUGGACCGUAACUGACGCUGAAACACGAAAGCGUGGGUAGCAAACAGG